rnacentral:rRNA from 1 species
ACGGUCCUAAGGUAGCGAAAUUCCUUGUCAGGUAAGUUCUGACCCGCACGAAUGGCGUAAUGAUUUGGGCACUGUCUCAACAGCCCGCCCGGCGAAAUUGUAGUACUGGUGAAGAUGCCAGUUACCCGCAACUAGACGGAAAGACCCCAUGGAGCUUUACUGCAGCUUAAUACUGGAAAUCGGUAAUUCAUGUACAGGAUAGGUGGGAGACGGAGAAGCAUGGUCGUCAGGUCAUGUGGAGUCGCCCUUGGGAUACCACUCUUGGAUUGCUGGUUUUCUAACCUGCGGCCGUGAAUCCGGUCGGGGGACACUGUUAGGCGGGCAGUUUGACUGGGGCGGUCGCCUCCAAAAGAGUAACGGAGGCGCUCAAAGGUUCGUUCAGCACGGACGGAAAUCGUGCAUUGAGUGUAAACGCAUAAACGAGCCUAACUGCGAGACCGACGGGUCGAGCAGUAACGAAAGUUGGAGUUAGUGAUCCGGUGGUAUGUGAGUGGAAAUGCCAUCGCUCAACGGAUAAAAGUUACCCUGGGGAUAACAGGCUGAUCUCCCCCAAGAGUCCACAUCGACGGGGAGGUUUGGCACCUCGAUGUCGGCUCAUCGCAUCCUGGGGCUGUAUUCGGUCCCAAGGGUUUGGCUGUUCGCCAAUUAAAGCGGCACGCGAGCUGGGUUCAGAACGUCGUGAGACAGUUCGGUCCCUAUCUGUUGCGGGCGUAAGAGAUUUGAAGGGAGCUGUCCUUAGUACGAGAGGACCGGGAUGGACGUACCUCUGGUGCACCAGUUGUCCUGCCAAGGGCAUAGCUGGGUAGCUAUGUACGGACGAGAUAAACGCUGAAAGCAUCUAAGCGUGAAACUCCCCCUAAGAUGAGAUCUCUCAUCCUUCAAGGAGUAAGGACCCAGAAAGACGAUCUGGUUGAUAGGCCGAAGGUGGAAGCGCAGUAAUGUGUGCAGCUGAUCGGUACUAAUAGUCCGAGGGCUUGACCUA